rnacentral:rRNA from 1 species
CAGCCGCCGCGGGAAUACGGAGGGUGCAAGCGUUAAUCGGAAUUACUGGGCGUAAAGCGCACGCAGGCGGUCUGACAAGUCAGAUGUGAAAUCCCCGGGCUUAACCUGGGAACUGCAUUUGUGACUGGCAGGCUAGAGUAUGGCAGAGGGGGGUGGAAUUCCGCGUGUAGCAGUGAAAUGCGUAGAUAUGCGGAGGAACACCGAUGGCGAGGGCAAUCCCCUGGGCCUGCACUGACGCUCAUGCACGAAAGCGUGGGGAGCAAACAGGAUUAGAUACCCCGGUAGUCCCUGUCUCUUAUAC